UAUUAAACAUGGCGGAAAGAAGUAAAGAACCUGGAUCAUUCGAUCUAAAACAGUUUUCAUUUCCAACAGAACAGAUUCCAAGAUUAAGUAUUAAUGACCCAGAAGCAUCGAGUAGAAUUUCCAGAGCGCUUCCUGUAGUGUUAACAGAUACCAAUCUGGUGACCUCAGCUUUGCACUGGGACCUGGACUACCUGUCUAAAAAUAUUGGCGAUGGAGAAUUUGUUGUACAUAUUUCUAAAAACAAAAAUUUCCAAUAUUUUGAUGAUAAAAAAAUGACAAAUGUGAAGGAAUUCAGAAAGCCCAGCGAAAAACAAGACAUGAAAUUUUCAGAAUUUGUGGAAAAACUGCAUCAGGCAAAGCCUGGAGAGGACAGACUUUACUUACAACAGAUUCUACAUGAUACAGUGGGGAAGAAAGUCAUCCAAGAUUUCCUUGGUUUUAACUGGCGUUGGGUGACAAUGCAACAGAAAGACAAUAAUUUUGGAGAAAUGACCUCAAAUCUUCUUUUGGUUGGAAUGGAAGGUAAUGUCACACCAGGACAUUACGACGAACAAGAAAAUUUCUUUGCACAAGUGCGAGGCUACAAAAGAUUUAUUCUCUUCCCGCCCACACAGUUUGCCUGCAUGUACCCAUACCCCAUAUAUCAUCCCUGUGAUCGACAAAGUCAGGUUGACUUUGAAAAUCCAGACUUUACAAAGUUUCCAAAAUUCAAAGAAGCUUCUGGUUUAGAGACAGUAGUGGGGCCUGGAGAUGUCUUAUAUAUUCCCAUGUACUGGUGGCACCAUGUUCAGUCUCUCCCUUCUCAUGGCUACACUAUUUCUGUCACCUUUUGGUACAAGGCAGGGCAGUCAGAAAAGAUAGAAUAUCCAUUAAAACCCAAACAGAAGGUGGCUAUGAUGAGAAACAUAGAGAAAAUGAUACACCAGGCUUUAAACGAUUCCUCAGAGAUGCCGGAGUUUAUGAGCAAUAUGACAUUGGGACGAUACACAUGAACUGUGAUCAUCAUCAACAUCAUCAUCAAACUAGAUGUACCAUAUGGCAAUGACGGUUACCCCUGUCUGGUUUGGGGAACUCACACUCGCUCCUGGUCGCCACUAGAUGGAUAGCCCUUACCUGUUUUACUAUCUUCAAUUCAACAGCCCCCGCCAAUCAAUGCACGGUGUUGCCCAAAUGAGCAGAGCGCCAGUAUAAGAAGGAGAACAAAACGAAUCCUAACAACUACAGCCCAGUGCCAUUAGCCAGCCUCAUCUGUAAGACAAUGGAGCGAAUUGUCUUCAAGCAGGGCAAGGACACAUUAUCA
rnacentral:misc_RNA from 1 species